UGAUAUCUAUUCUUGAGGAUACAUUAAAAUACGCAACCAACCGUCAUUGAACCGUCCAAUCAGAUCAAAGGAGUAAUCGUCGUAGAUCGUGCCUUAUCGAUAAUGUUCGGUGCCUGGAGAAAAUUGACAAUUGACAAGAGAAUUGUUUUAUUAUUUUUGACUUUUUAGUUCGUUUAAUUUAAUAAUUACUAAAACCAGUAGUUCGAAAGAUAUAUUUAAAAAUAAAAGAUAAAAAUCCAAAAAAUUAAUUAUCUAUUAACGUGGAUUUGGACGACAAUAGGUUUUUAGUUUGUGAUGUUUCAUGUGAUGAUCAUUUUCAUGCAUCGUCUUUGAAUUGACAUGAGGAUAUCUAUGGAAAAGUAACUAAUCUGAAAGUAAGCCAACAUAUCGUUUGUCCUUUGUGUGCUAAAGAAAAGAUUUUCUUUUCGCAUCGUGAGGAAGUAUUACAUCAAUUAAAAAAUGUUAGGAAGUUGAUUACUUGUCAUGGAAAAGUAUACCAAUGGAAAUUAUUUGUUAAAGAAGUAUAAUUCUAAGGGUUUUAAGAAUAAAUUGGUUGAACCCAAAAUCUGGAGGAAGUACCUAUAUCCAUACACAGAAUAUGCCCAUUAAAAAUACUAGUCCAAAU